GCAGACUUUUUUCAACCAUAAUUUCUUCAUCCGAACUCCAUUUAGAUUGAUCUUAGGCUCGUUGGACUCCGUUUAUCAUUACAAAUCUCACUGUGGAUUCAGUAUGGAUUGAAUCUCAAGACAUCAAAUCUUAAUAGUAUUUUCUUGCAUAAGCCUCUUAAGCUUUCUUGUACACCCAUCCCUUACUUUAUUUAUAUCAGGU
rnacentral:lncRNA from 1 species